ensembl:lncRNA
AGCCCUGCUUUUUCUCCCUUUCCUGACUUUCCCUCCCUCCUGCCAUCUUCUCCCCCCUCUCUAUAAACACUCCGCACACAUGGAGCCAGUUUGUGGAGCGAAGGACAGAGGGAGAGGGGGUAGAGAGAGAGAAAGAGCACACGAGAGAUUUUGACGUCUUUUUUAGUCCACUCGCAACAUCUCUACUUUUUCCUCCUUUUGUUUGCAGAGAAAAUUUUUAAAACUCAUAUAGCAGCAGAUUUUUGCUGUUGCUGCAAAUCCUUCUAACUACAUGUGACUACGAAAAAAGCAAGCCCUACCACAAAUGUCCAACAGCCAAUAAAACAACCAUUCCAAAAUUCCAAACGGAUCGCUCUACGGUUUGAGAAGACAGUCCUGGACUUGCUGUACAGCAAUUACUCACACCAUGAAGUUCCUGUGGUGCGAGAGUCACUUUUUGACAUUUCGCUAAGCCCUGCCUUAAUGCACCCUUUCAGCCUGAAUUGCGACAUAGCAGAGUCAUGUGACCACACGCAUGGAACUUAUGGAGCCAACGUGCCUGAGCAGUUAGCUACACAACCCGAACACCCCAGAGGAGGCGUUUCUGUUGUCAACAAAAAAAAUGAUUGGUGCUCAUCAGCUCAGGUCAAAACUAUUGGAACUCUUUGGUUAAAUCUCUCUUGACCUUUGAUCUGAGGCAAAAACAACGUGUAGGUCAGACUUAAACCACGGACAAGACAAUUAAACCACGGACAAGAAACUGGCAAACUAAAGGCCUUUUCUAAGUGCAACUCCCUUCAACCGACACCAGGCAGUCAUUAGUAAACGCAAACACCUGCAAGAACAGGUCUUGACAGCUUAUGACAGAAAACAAUGGUGCUGGAGACACCUCAGGCAUCGACAGUGAUGAGAAAAUGGCACUAGAGAACAACUGAACAACUUUCAGAAUCCACUAAGGCCAGUGAAGCCCAACAGAGGCAGUUCCUACAGUGUAUUUGCAGGGGGCCACAAUAGCCUACGGACAACAAACUAGCUAAUUCCAACAGGUUAUAAAAGGCAUUACAGCAAACAUGACCUUUUUGAGAUUUACACAUUCUUUGAAGCAGCAACAACAUGACGCAAAACCUAAGUCUAUAACCCCUUUAAAGUAAGUCAUAACAGCCUAAGGUGCUAGGCUACUAGACCAAUGUGUAAUCCAUUCAAUCCAAACUCCCUCAAGGCGGCUGCUAACAUUAUCCAGAAUUGCACAUAAGCUAGCUCAAACAUGCUUACGGUCUUUGUUAUAAAAAAAUAUAGUAGUUCAGCUGAGCAAGUGAAUCAUACAUAUACGUGUUUUCAGUGUUGUCAUAAGCUUUCAUAAAAAAUUUAAAAGAUUUUAGGAUACACUAAGGCUUGUACAUGAAUCAAAUAAAAAAUGUCAUUACUGAAAAAUUUGGCGUGAUGCAGCUAGAACAUACAUCAUACUUGUACACAUUAUGCUCAGGGACUGGAUCAUCAUUAAUUAUCAUCAUUUAGUUAUCAAUAAAGAAAUACUAUCACCCAAUUCUGUUAUGGCUGGCAGAUAAUGACAUGGACACUUGAAAUGCAACCCUAGUAAGUAAAUAAACAGGGUGUGUAUGGUGUCGAGAGCACUCACCUGGUCACCAUCUCCCUGCAGCUCUGAUGACUGCUCCUUCACUGCUGCGUCUGCAGCAGAAUCAGGGCCGUCAGUGCGCUCAGGGGAAGCAGCUUCUCCAGCUCCCUCCGCUCGCUCCUCCUGAUCCUCUGGAUGGGGCACGGGCUCCUCCACGAGUCCCAUGUCUCUGGGGUCGUCACUGGAGAUGACCUCUGAACUCCGUCGGACGCCGUUAAGCAGCAAGGCCUUCCUCCUGGUCCGCUGUGGAGCUGCUCGUGAGUUCUGGUUGGACCAGCGGGCCACAGCUGGUUUGGGUGCAGCCACUCUUGCCUGGCAGGAAGAGGAUCGCCUCCUCACGCCACCUCCUGGUCCUUCCUGUUUGUUCUGGGCAGGUCUGAGUGCUGUGGCAGGAAGCUUCUUCUCGUUGCAUGGAGAUAGCUGGCUAACAACGUUUUUCCCUCGAGCCUGCUGGUCACUCCUGGUCACUUUUGUUGCAGAUGAAGGCAGAGACAUUAUCUUGGAUUUCACAUUCUUCAGGUCUGGCUUGGGAAACCUCUUGACAACGUUCUUGCCAGGCUUAGAUGCCGUCGCUUUGGUGGCACGGCAAGCCGGUUUGGCCCGAGCCACUGCAGUUUGCGCCUUGGCCUUAUGGACAGCAACAACUGGGGUGGAGGUCUGGACCUCAGGGGUGUCUUUCACCUGCACACUGGGGACCUCCACCUUUGUUUCAUUCAUUACUGAGGCGGAACAGAGUUUGGCUGUCCCUUCCUGGACCUCCCCAUCUGCCUCCUCCCCCUCCUUCUCCUUCUCCUUCUCCGUCCCAUCCACCAUGCACACCUCAGCAGCAGCAUCCACAGGCUCCUGCUGCGGAUCCUCUGUGAGAGCUAGACCUUCAGGACAGGCAGGGGUGGUGAGACUAGAUGAUCCCAGACCCUGGGUCUUCUCUGUGAGUGGGGGUGAGUGUGAGGACAGGGGCUCGUGGUCGUCGGAGGAGGAGGUGGACGAGUCGGCCAGGACGGACACACUGCUGAGGGCUCGCUCUGAGCCGUCCAGGCUGAUGGUGACGCUCCUCAUAACCAUGUCUCCUGAACUCACUGACAGGAACAAGUCCUCCUGAUCGCCAUCUUCAUCAUCAUCAUCAUCAUCAUCAAUAUCGUCAUUCUCCGAGGAGCACAGAGGGGCCGGUGAGUCCUCAGAGUAACGUCUGCGACUGCCGUUCUGGUUGCCAUAGUGAUUUCCAUGGAUAUCACCGUGGUCACCGUGGGUGUCUUCCUGGAUGAACACCAGAGCAAGGUUCUCAUUGUUGUUCCAGGUGUUGUCGUCGUCAUGGUCACGGGCAUCCAGGUACACAGAAACGGAGAUCUCAUUGGACUCAGAGCAGUCACACUGCUGAACCACGUUGUCAGGAUCCAGCACUGGCGUUUCUUUGGGGAUCUCAAUAUGGCCACUGCUGCCAGCUAGGAGCUUCUGUCUCUCAGUGCAUUCUUGCAUGUCAACAUCCAGGGGACUGUCAGAGCGACCACUGCUCAGACUGCUGGAGCUGCGCACGGAGUCUGGAGACGACUCGCUCUGGCAGGACGGGGAGCAAGAGGAAGAGGAGGAAGACUCCGCAAAGGCAUUCCCAUUUUGGUCUCCGUCCCGCAAGGCCAGUGUCAUGCCGUGCUGGGCGCCCUCUGAAGGGCCCAUCGGACCCUCCACGGGCUGCAUGUCGCUCAUGUCUGCAGCUCACACUGGGUACAAACCUCCUGCAGAUUUACACACGGCAGGGUCAAAUCACCGAGGCUCCCAUGGGCUACUCCUGAGCAGCACAGGUCCCGCAGGGUCAAGGUCAAAGGUCGUAACAACUCUGAGAAGUUCACUCUGCACAGGAGCAGAGGUGGCUGUAGUCCCUCCACUCACGUGGGAGAGUGGAACUCAUUGCUCUCAGUGGUCCUCCUCGGAAAAGUGUCUGCAAAAGAAGAAGAGUGGAAAAGUGGAAGAAGGUUAAAUGACCGCCUGUGUUUUUUCCUUCUUCUCCCUCAUCUGUAGGCGCUCAAAUGUACGCAGUGUUCCGCACAGCACCCCUCCCACGAGUGAACUGGCCUCAAUAGAGUACAGUAGGGAUCUGCAUUGAUUCACACAGAUGGCAAGUUACACAAUUCAACUGCGUUGACUCUGAGGUGUCUGCUUUAGAGAGACUGCUGCUGCCCUCUAAUGGCUAGAGUGGAGUAGUGUGGUUAAUUCAGAUCAGCCAUAAAUGAUGUUGAAAGCAAGGAUGAGUGUUUUUACUUGAAGGAAAUGUUACCUCAAUAAUACGUCAACGUCAACGAUGUCCGCCAGGCUCUGAGUCUAAUGACAGAAAAGCCCAUGUCAUUAUUGCAGGAAGACAUAAUUUGAAUACUUUAGGGGAGUCACUUCUUCCACUUAGCGCUUAAUGGCUAAUGAGGUGAAUUCCUGCUGGAGUUUCCAUGAUAUAAUGUUCCAGUGCUAGAAACAAAGGUCUGGCUUGGAGGCGAUUGCUUGAACUUGGACUAAAAUAUAUCAAACACCAACAGCUCUCUAGAGUGACUCGUGUUUCCUGUUUGGCUUUUUGGCAGAUCAUGGUAUAAUGUUAGAUAAUGCACAGCAGCACCCACACAGACAGGACUGUGGUGGUUUAGCCUGUCACUCAGCACCCUGCUAAUUUGGCUUUAUUAUUUCCACUCGAUUCAGGGCAGCCAGUGCCGUUACAAUCCCCCACCACCAAUCACAAAGGAGCCUUGUGUUUGCACACACAGGCCCAGGCAAACAACGCCAGGCCAACGGGCUGAUUGUUUUUUUUUUUUUUCCUUUAAGGAAGGGUGGAACAAGAAGCCACCUCCCUCAGACCACACCAACUUCCUCCGACGCAAGCAUUUGGGCAACAAUGCCCGGGCUUUCGUUUGGGUGCAGUGGCAUCUGAAUUCUCUCUGACCACACAACCCCUUAUCUGGUAGCGUGGGCCAGCUAGCCUUCCCAUGAACUCAAUGGUAUGAUACCCGGGGACCUGAGAGUCGUGUGGUGUUAUAUGAGUGUCUGGCUAAGGGCAGCACCGGGUCCGGUGUUAUAGCUGAUGCUGUAACUCAACACCUCUCCUCAUCCCUCUGGCUCAGUGUCUGACUGCAAGGCUCAUCUGUCUUACUGAGAUCAUCACCAAUGCAAAAUAACAACACGUCUAUUAAAGGGAGGCGACAGAGAAGGAGAGAAGAAAAGAGAGGGAGGGAGAGAGAGAGAGAGAGAGAGAGAAUCAGAAGAUGGCGAGAGAAGGGAGAAAUGGAGUGAGUAAAGGGAGGCACAGAGGGCCGUAGAGGGGGACAAAUAGGUGAAGAGGAAAAGGGAGGGAUGGUGAAAGAAAGGGGGGAUGACUAAGGUGGAAAUGAGUCACACUGGCAUU